rnacentral:lncRNA from 1 species
CCAGUUCCACCUUGCCGAAACUUGGGCCUAACUUUAACAGGCCCUUUUCUAACCUCCAUAACCCAAAGAGCUUCGGGACUCAGAUCUUACAGAUUAUUCCUCUGCUCUCCCCUUGACCCCCACGUCAACCCAAACUAAUAAUCUUGCCUUUUGCUCACCCUCAAACCCAGCCCCCAGCGCGCCUUCUCGACCAGUUAAGGUGCACAGCUAGCUAAACGGGUAUGGUCUGUACUUUUCAUGAAAUGUAAGCGGCUGGAUCCCUGGCAACUUUUAAUGUACGGCCUUUAAGAUGUCUUUUUCUUGAGGUUGAACUACUGUUGCUUGUACUGGAGAACUGUACAGAGCUGAGAAUUAGCUGGGUUUUUUUGGGUUGUUUUAACUUUAUUUAAGGGAGGGGGAGGUGGGACGGGAUUACCCUCGGGAAAGGAAAAAAGCCACCUUUCCUUGGCGUGGUAAGCAUUAAAGCUAACCUGACUACUUAGUAAAAUAUAGCUAAGUAAAGUAAAUCUAGGUGUUUGUUUUUAAUGACACUAUGGUAUUAAGGAAUUUCGAAGUCUCCUACAGGUAGCUUUUGUUUUUGUUUUGUCUGAGCAGUGAAUGGAUAGGUAAACGCGUAACUUUUGAUUUUUUGAAGCUGCGGUACAAUACCUUUGUUAAAACUACCUGGAGAGAGUGGUAAGGGUUAUUUAGGUACGUUGCUACUUAGAAAGGGCAUUCGUUGACAUAUUUCUUAGGAAGUGUAACAUUAUGUACUUCUCACACGCUCCAUGUAACUCUGUUGGCCUGAUGCCAGGACUUAACGUCUAUCCUUUUGCCUUCUCAAGUCUCAUACAUCAAUUCAGCAAACAUGUAUUGAAGAUCUGGAGUUCUGUGGCCACAGUUUCUGAACUCUAACUUAUCAUAUGUGUGAUAAAGAAUUUUUCUGGUGUGUACUUCACAAGUCUUACAACUAUUUAUGUGUCUAGUAUAUUGCCUUGGUUGAAGAUGAUAAUUAAAUACAUGAAAGAACACUUGGAAAGGCCGGGAUAUGAUUACCUUUACUGGUAACUAAAAGCCAGAUGGUUUCCUAGGCUUUGGAGUUACAGAAAGGAUUAGGAGUUCUUAUCCGGCCAGGCGCAGUGGUUCACGCCUUUAAUCCCAGCACUUUGGAAGGCCAAGGCUGGCCGAUCAUCUGAGGUCGGGAGUUCGAGACCAGCCUGGCCAACUUGGUGAAACUGUCUCUACUAAGAAUACAAAAACUAGCUGGGCGUGGUGGUGUGCGCCUGUAAUCCCAGCUACUCGGGAGGCUGAGGCAGGGGAAUUGCUUGAACCCAGGAGGUAGAGGUUGCAGUAAGAGUGAGACACUGCCUCAAAAAAAAAAAAAAAAAGGUACUUAUCCUUGGGGUGACUGGAGAAUUCUUUGGGGAAGCCAACUUAUGUCCGAACAACAAUAAUGCCAUUUUAAGUAAUAGAUACAGUGUUAGGGGAGCACUGCAUGCAUUUGUGUGUGUGUGUGUAUAAUGUUUUAUUAUGGUAAAAUGCAUAAUCAAAUUUAUUAUAACCAUAAGUGUACAAUUCAGGGGCAUUGAAUGCACACAGAUUUAUUUAUUUAUUUAUUUUUGAGACAGAGUCUCGCUGUGUCACCAGGCUGGAGUGCAGUGGUGCCAUCUCAGCUCACUGCAACCUCCGCCUCCCAGGUUCAAGUGAUUCUCCUGCCCCAGCCUCCUGAGUAGCUGGGACCACAGGCGCAUGCCAACACUCCUGGCUAACUUUUGUAUUUUUAGUAGAGACGGGUUUCACCAUGUUGGCCAGGUUGGUAUCGAUCUUUUGACCUCGUGACCCUCCUGCCUCGGCCUCCCAGAGUGCUGGGAUUACAGGUGUGAGCCACCGUGCCUGGCGUACAAAUUUAUUUUUGUCAAGGCUUACUGCAGAAUGGAUUUGAGAUGGCUGACAUGCACAUAGAAGGUGAUUAAUAAUGGUGGAACUAAGAGUUAACUGUGCAAGGGCUUAGAAAUACAGUCAAUGAGCAGUCUUUGUAAAAAUUAAUUUAGAUAUAAAUGUUCACAUUUCAGCAUCAUGUAAUUUUAGAACUAGAAGUGACUUGAAAUAUCUAGCUUAACUCCUAUUGUAGGUAGGAAAAAAAAUUAAUAGUUUCCUUAGCUAAUUAGAAGCAAGACAGCAGUAUUACUUAGUGGCAGAGAUGGGGACUAUUACCUAAGUCUCCUAAUUGCCAUCCAUGCUUGUUUUAACCUUCACCAUGCCACUAUAAUAACUUUAAAUUGAUAUUAAACUGAAAGCAUUAAAUUUUUACCGUAGAAAAAGACUUUAAAUGUUACACACUUCUAAUGUUAAAAGUGUUAAUAAUUAAAAAAAAUUUUUUUGAGACAGUCUCGCUCUUUUGCCCAGGCUUGACUGCAGUGGCAUGAUCAUAGCUCACUGCAACCUCAAAUUCCUGGGCACAAGGGAUCCUCCUGACUCAUCCUUCAAAACAGCUGGGACUAUAGGUGCACACCACUGUUGAUAAGGAAUAUUAAUUUUACAUUUCACAUGUAAAUUUAAGCAACAAAUAUACAAAGUUUUUAAAGUUAAGGAAUUAUUUCUGAGAUUAGCUGUGCUAGGGAAAGUAGUACAAAAGGGAGGCCAACAAUAUUAAAACUACUUGAUAAUCUAAAAUAUGUGAUGAUUUAAACAGCAAAUUAGUUUCAUUUAAGCUAAAAUUUACUACCCAGGUCACAUUCUCUGUUCAGGGGGAAAAAAACGUAAUAGGACAUGGAUCAUACUUAUCAGACUGAAGCACACUUGAAAAAGUUUUAAUGGAAACAUAUCAGGUUGAUUCAGAUGGGUUGUAUUGGGCCCCUAUUUACAAAUGUGUUUAGAGAAUCUUAAAUAUAGUUCAGAAGUAAUUUACAUUAACAAUAAAAAAAAAAGAAGAGUUUUUUUAGUGUCCAUUUAAGAGGGCAAAGUCCUUAAAAAUAUCUGGAUUGUAUCACUAGUUAUGCUGGUACCUUUUUAAAUUUUUCAUAAAUAUUUUAAAGGUCUUUAAGAAGUAGAAAUGACCAAAAAUCUAGAAAUAAAUAGAAAGUGUUAUCUUUUUUUCUUAAAGAUGGGAUGUUACAGGAAAAAUUCUAGAAAAGCUAACAACUUUUUUUUUUUUUCAUUUUCUGUGCUUUUGAAACAGAUAUUCAGAUAAUAUGGGCCCUCUUUUUCCUUAAAUUUCAAGUGAAAUGAGACAGGAACCAUAUGUCCAGGGAAAGGGCCAGAAAUCUUUAUUUUGUGAGUCACAUUUUUAUUGCCUUCCGUUGUUUAUUUCCCUUUUGCUUGUCCUUAAUAUUUGUAAACUGUUCAAUUCAAACGUGUCCCUACAGUAUGAUGGAGAAUCAAUACAAGAGUUUUGUUUUGUUUUGUUUUCCUUUCGUUGUUGUUGUUUUCCAUGUUAGAAGAAAAAGCCCACCCCUACUUCCAAAAGAUUAGAAUGAAGUAGCAGUGGUAAUCAAAGUAAGAGUGCCUAAGGAAAGGCAAAACUCCAGAGGUCAGAGUAAGAAUUACUUGGUCACCACCCUCUUCUUCCUUAAGAAACCCCCUUGUAGAAAUCAUUCUCUUGUAUGCGCUCUGAAGAUAAUUUUGAGCACAGGGUUCUUGAUUAAGAACACAGAAGAGUAGUCAACUAUAGUGACUACAGUAGCUGCUUUUUAGAAUGUCAGCUCAGUCCACAUCCACUUGACUGAAAAUUCCUCCUAUACACAGAGAUAUCUCUGAAGCCAUGUUGACUCUGCUUAACAUAGCUCUUCCAGUAAACUAUGAUUAGAUCACUGAUAGACCAUAUCCAGGUUUAGCCAAUCAGAUUUUCCCUCUAAGACUUUGGAAACAGAUCAUUGGAAUGCUGAUCAAUUGGCAGUCUAGAGUGGCAAGGUGUUGUUCUAUGGAUUGGAUAGCCAUUUUCUGCCAUGUGCACAACAAUGCAGAAAAACUUCUCUUUGGAACGAGAAAAGAAUUUAAUUCUUCCUGUCACUGGGAAUAUAAUGGUUACCAAAGCAUACCUGGUCGCUUUUGUCAUGGAACUUGUAGUUUGGUAAAACAGGUAUAAUGAUAAGGUAAAUUCAUAGUACUUUAAACAUAGGGCAGACAAUCUUUUCCUAAGUACUUCACACUUAAGCUGAGUUCUCAUAAGUGUGUAAAUGUUAACUGAGGGGGAAAAGGUGUAAAGAGCCUUCCAGGGAGAGAGAAUAACAUAGAUAAAUAGUUAUAAUGUGGGAGGGGGAAACUUUAUUGUAAUUACUCUAAGGCUAAGUAGGCUAUAGCAAAGAGAUGGAAUAAGUAAGAGUGUGUAGACCAUAUGUAUCAGGAUAGGCUAGGUUAUGCUGAGUAACAAAAUACUCCAAAAGCUUGCCAGUGGUCUACAGGAAGGUUUAUUUACCUCCCAUCCUACAUGCUUAACAUGGCUCUGCUCCAUGACAUCUUCACUCUGGACUGAGGCUGACUGAGCAAUCUAAAAUUGUCAUUGUCAUGGCGGAAGGAAAAGUGGUAAAGCAUGGUUCUUAAAGUGUAGGCUCACAUUUUUUUCUCUUUUCAUCAGCCAAACAUUUGCCAUGCCUGAGAACAACAAGGGGGCACAGACAGCGGUACCACAAUGAAGGGUACUGAAUGUGGGUGAAUAGUAAUCCAGUUCUAUGUUUUAAGAUUUUGAAAGCCAGGCAGGGUGGCUUGUUCCUGUAAUCCCAGCAACUCAGGAGGCUAAGGGAGGAGGAUCGUUUGAGGCUUGGAGUUAGAGACCUGUCUUGUCAACACAGCAAGACCCUUUCUCAAAAAAUAAAAUUUAAAAAAGAUUUUGAUGUUUAUCAUAGCAGUAAUGGAAAUACCACUGAAUAAAUUUUUCACUUUAAACAAGUUACUCUGGCUGUAAUGAGGAAAACAGUUUUGAAAUGGCCAAGAGUCGAUUUGGGGAGAAAAAUUAGGGGACCAUUUUAGUUUUCCAGGCAAAAAAAGGGUGGGUAGUACUUUAAAGUCGGGUCAUGGCAGUAGAAAUGGAGAGAAGCCAAUAGAUUUAAUAGAUAGGAGAAUCUAGUCAUGUUCAAAAAGAAGCAGAGGUGAGAGAAUAUGUGGUCCCAGGAUGACAGAGGAAAUAUAGCAGGUUUGGUUCUCAAUGUCUUAAUAGUAGCUGACUCCAGUCUUCCAGGAAGUCCAGCUACUCUAUUCUUUGUUCUUGGGUUCCUUGUAUUCUCCUCAUAAAUUUCCCUUCCUGCUUAAGCUUGUGUGUGCGUGUGCGUAUGUGUGUUUAAGCAAACAGCCAUAACUAGGCUAUUAAGCCAAGGAGAUAACCAUCAGAGAAAGCAUCACACCACAGUUCUGCCUACAGGACACAAGUAACUAGGACCAGCAACACAGUUUAACUGGUGUUAUCUCUUCUUCCAAUGACUCCAUCUCUACCCGUUCUGCUUAUUGUUCCCAAAGGAUCCUGACACCAGCAAAUGUACAAAUUAUAAACAAUGAGUACAUAUUAGAUCUCAUAUGAACCUUCCCGUAGUACUUUGUUCAUAUAUCUGUUAGGGCAAUUUUUUGUAUCAUUGGAUACAGUCUUGCUCUCACACUAAACUUUAAGUCGCUAGAAAAGGCCCAUGUGUCUUAGAUAGCCUAGUAUAGUAUCUCUUACGUAGCAGAUAUUUGUGUGUGUAUAUGUAUGUGCAAUUCUGUAUGUAUUACAGAAAUUUAGGUUGUUAGCUAGGGACUCCAUGGCCCUCAGAAAAUUAGGUAAGCUUGCCUUGAAGGCCCAGUUUCAUAGCCUCUAAAGUCAAGAGCCUCUUUUCACCUAGUCCAAUUUUUGGACCCUGAAAGGUUAUUCACAAAUAUUGUCCUCCUUCUCUCUUCCUCCACAUGUAUUCCCACAACACUCCUCUAUCACCUUUGUUCUUUGACUAUGCCUAUAUUGAUAGGGAUCAGAAGCCCAGCCCGUAACUUUUAACUACCAAAACCCUCUGUCUUCAAGCAUUUCAUGAAUUCAUUAACUUUGUACCAAACAUUUAAGAGGGAUCACAUGACAGGAUCUGAUGCCUUUCACCCCAAUGUUGGGUCUUUUGCUCUUUUUUCACCCUCAAUACAUUAACAAGCAAAUCCUGCUCCUUUCCCUGCUACAGUUUGAUCAUACUCAGGUUUUUCUGAUUCUCAGCUGUUAUCCCAAAUAAGAUUAUUUGGACAUUUCUUCAAAAUAUAAACUGUUCUUUUGAAAGGGGUACCAGAAAAUACCAUUUUUUCUAACUUGGGACCUAAUCAACUGAAUGAAUGCUAACUGCUUGAGUUGUAUGUAUUUGAAGUAAUGAAAAGAAAGUGUGCUUUAAUCACUAUUGAGAAGUUGAACUUUUUAUUCUUACCCUCAGUGUUAUAUAUUGAAUAUUGUCCUCUACAAAUUCAUAUAUUGAAAUCCUAACCUCCAAUGUGAUAAUAUUAGGAGGUGGGGGCCUUUGGGAAGUAAUUAGGUCAUGAGGGUGAAGACCCCAUGGAUGAGAUUAGUGCCCUUAUAAAAGACUCUCCAGAGAGCUCUCUUGCUCUCUUUCUGCCAUGUGCAGAUGCAAUGAGAAGUCAGCAGUCUACAACCUGGAAGAGGGCCCUCACCAGAACCUGACCAUGCUGCACCCUGAUCUCAGACUUCUAGAUCCGGAACUGUCUGAAAUAAAUUUGUUUUACUCGUAAGCCAUUCUGUAUGGUUUGUUACAGUAGCCCAAACAAAGACACUAAGGAUCUCUUUAUACUCUUUGAAAAUUACUGAAGACCCUAAAGAGUUUUUAUGUGGGCUAUAUAUUGUGAUGUUCACUGUAUUUGAAGUUAAAACUGAAGAAUUUAAAAAACCGGAAUAUACCAGCUCACAUUUCAUUAGCCAUCAGAGUGAUGGCCUCAUUCUAUGUCACACAACCUCUGAAAAAUUCCACCCUACCCCUAUGGGAGAAUACAAGUGAAAAAGGCAAGUGAUAUCUUAAUUUUUAUUUAUUUUUUUUGAGACAGAGUCUCGCUCUGUCGCCCAGGCUGGAGUGCAGUGGUGCAAUCUCGGCUCACUGCAACCUCCACCUCCCGGGUUCAAGUGAUUCUCCUGCUUCAGCCUCCCGAGUAGCUUGCUGUGUGGCAACACAGCAAGACCUUCUCUCAAAAAAUAAAAUUUAAAAAAGAUUUUGAUGUUUAUCAUAGCAGUAAUGGAAAUAAAUUUUUCAUUUUAAACAAGUCACUCUGGCUGUAAUGAGGAAAACAGUUUUCCUUGGAUGCCUGUGCCACCGCGUCCAGCUAGUUUUUGUAUUUUUAGUAGAGACGGGGUUUCACCAUGUUGGCCAGGCUGGUCUUGAACUGACCUCAGAUGAUCUGCCUACCUCAGGUGUUAUGCCUGCCUCAGCCUUCCAAAGUGCUGGGAUUACAGGCGUGAGCCUCCGCCCCCGACUGUCGACAUCUAAAUAUUAUUAUGAAAAUAGGUUUAACCUUAGAGACCUUCUGAAAAGGUUUCUUAGGGGUCCUCAGACCACACCUUGAGAGCUGCUGCUCUAAUCUAUAAGGCUGCCUCUGAUGAUUCUGGAAUAGUAAUAUUUUUCUACUUGUAAAUAUGGGAACGUGUUCUCUGUGCUUCCAGAGUUUAAGAUCUGUGGUGCCAAAAUACAAGCUUCUGAAGAUCUGUGGGCUGAAGUACAAGCUUCUUGGCCUUUCAAGUGAAAUGUUGGUGCUAUGUGUGGGAAAAUUUGGCUGGCCAUGUCAAAAUGGAAAAGGAAUAUAAGUAUGAAAAAAUUUACAUAAUAAACAUGACCAUUUUACUACUAGUGCUUCCUUCAUCAGAAACAUCUUCUGCAACUUAAAAUAGCAAUAAAAGUCAAUAGAUACAAAAAUAUUGACCAUACCAAACAUUUUAAAGGGUUUGGUUGGGGGAGAUGGACAACAGGGAGCUUGCUUUCCCUACCAUCAUUUCUUCAGCAUCCAGCUAUCAUUCAAUCAUGUGUAUGUACUAUCUGAAUUAGAGUAAAGCUAAACUUUUCUAUCAAAGAGGACCCAAAACACUAUGGCUUAAAGAACACUGAAAUUUGCUUAUUUCUCACACACAAAGACUGUACCAGGAACCCAGGUUUUUUCUAUCUUGUUGCUGUGCACUUUCUAACUUAUCAUUCACCAUGGCAUUAUUCUCAGCUGCAUGGUUGAAGAUGGGUCAAGGAACUCCAUGAUCUACCUCAUGCGAAAGAAAAAGGAGCAUGGAGGAUCAUAUAUCCAAUGUCUUGAGACCCAGGCUCAAAAUUACACAUUUCUGUUCAUAUUCCAUUCUGGGAAUGUAGUCACAUGGCCACACCUAGCUUCAAAUGAGGCUGAGAAAUGUCAUCUCUAACUGUGUAGUUAUGGACCUUGCUACAACUCUUCCUACAGAACAGGGACAGGGUGGAUUUUGAUGGACAAUUCACAAUAUCCACUUCAUAGGUAUUUUAGUCAGUGAUUUUUGCCGUUGGUAAAGCAUUCUACUUCUCAGGCUUUAAAAUGUGAGCUUCAGAGCAAAUGUAUUAUAUAUAUCAGUUAUAAAAAAAAAAGACCAUAAAUUCUUAGAAAACUCCCUCCUAGCUUGAACCUUCUCAGAACCCAGCCACUGUUCUGUAAGAAGUCAAAGCUUCAUGGAGAAGCCAUAUAUAUAGGUGUUGUGGUUGAUAGUCCUAGCUGAACCUAGCCUUUAAAUCAUCCCAGCCCAGUCACCAGACAGGAGGGUAAAGACCUAUUUCCCUCUUGGUAAGAGAUCUUCCAUUCUCAGCCCUUCCAGUCCCCACCAGUUCAAGUUGCUUCCAGCUGUUGGAAGCAUCCUAUUUGAGGCCCUAGACAUCAUGGAAAGAGACAAUCCCCACUAUGUCCUGUACAAACUCCCAAACCAUAGAAUUUGUGAGCAUAAUGAAAUGGUUGGUUGGUUGGUUUGGUUGGGGGAAGGGGGGACAGAAUAAUAGAUAUACAUGGCAAUAUUUAACUAGAAUAUACAUUCCAAGUCAGAUAUUUAAAUAGGCCCUCUUCUCAAACUUUCCAUUGAUAGAAUUUUUUGAAAUAUUUAAACUAUCUAAAGUGAGUGAUUAAAAACAUUUUAGCUUGGCCAGGAGGGGUGACUCACACCUGUAAUACCAGCACUUUAGGAUGGCGAAGCAGGAAGAUCACCUGAAGUCAGGAGUUUGAGACCAGCCUGGCCAACAUGGUGAAACCCUGUCUCUACUAAAAAUACAAAAAAAAAAAAAAAAAAAAAAAAAAAAAUUAGCCGGCAUGGUGGCACGCACCUGUAGUCCCAGCUACUCAGGCGGCUGAGCCAGGAGAAUCACUUGAACCUGGGAGGCAGAGGUUGCAGGGAGCCGAGAUCACACCACUGCACUCCAGCCUGGAAGACAGACUGAGAAUCAUCUAAAAAACAAAAACAAAAACUCAGUUUAGCUUUUACAAUUCAUUCACUCAUUUGACAAAAUCUAUGGAGUAUCUAAAAUUUACUGGGGUUAUACCUGCAUACACACAUUAGGAUCCAAUUAUAUUCACUCCUGUGUUUCCCAUGUAGAUUUUGAGCUUCUUGAGUGAAAACAAUAUAUAUUACUUCUGUAAUCUCCACAGCAUCCAGUAAUAUAUAAAGUUUAAUAUGAGUAGAAAGUGCUUGAUAAGAACUUGUUUGAUGAUUUUUAAAAUGUAUAAUAGAAAUGUAUAUAUGUAACCAUUCUUUAUGUGCAUACAUACCACUUAUUCAAGUGUGGCUGAAAAUAUGUGUAUUUUCUAAUUAAAAAUAAGAACUGCUAGUUAUAGGUACUUAUAAAAUAUAAAAGCGAUUUUAAAAUAUGUCACUUUAUAAAGAUUCUUAUGAAGGGUUUCCUAUUAAAGAUGCUAUUUUGGAAGAGUAUUACAGUCAUUUGCAUAUUUAUUUUUGUAUGCUGGUAAUUCACAUGAUCUGUGUAUUGCUUUUACAGUUUAACUGUAAGCCUCUUGCCAAAUGAAAUUUUAUUUUUAAAGUACCUUAUCACCACACACACAUAUGCAAGCAGUCUGAAUUGUAUAAAAUAUAAGAUCCACAUUUCAAUUGCUUUACUUUGUUGCCUAUCACAACUAGAGCAUCCUAAAAUUCUCCUUUAUUAGAGCAAAAUGUGGCUGAUUCAAAUAUCAUACUUCAGCUGCCUUCACCAUUUGAAUGAAAUAAGCUCCCAGCAAGAUGUAUUCAAGAAACUAUGGUUCAAACUGUGUUAUUCUGCUAUAAAGCAAUCUGCUAAACAUUUCUGAAGCAAUUUAGCUGUGACUUAGUUGCAAACAAUGUGGACACUUAAUCUGUGACUUGAAAUUGGGGCUACAGAGAAGUAUUCAAGACUUUUCUCAUGAGUUCACUUGCUUCAGAGAAAGAUACUUCCUAUUUUCUUAUGAGCUAAGAAUGGAAAGCUAAGAACUAUCAACUAUAUUAAAACAAUGAAAAUGAUCAACCUUAUAAGUUGAGUUUGUAUUAAAUCUGAAGUAUUGUAGAUAUAAUGAUACUAUAUCACCUAUUGUAGGUAUAAAUAUAUUAUAAGGGCUUUUACCCAAAAGAAUAGGACUUGCUUUUAGAAUUAUUCUGGGUUAUAUUUGUCUUACCAUAAAUUCUUCAUAAAUAUAUCUUACCUAUAUUAUUAACAUCAUUUUUUCACUGUUUUCUCAGCUGAUAGACUCUGUAUUUGGAGUAAUUAUUUGCCUAAAAAAUGCAUGCCAUCUUGACGAGGUCAACAUUCCAAAAAUAUUUUUUGUACUGAGUUAAUAAAAUAUGUUACAUUAAUCAACUGUACUAUAAUCUUUGAUACUGAUCAAACCAUGUUUAAAUUUGAAAUUCACUAUUUAUAAUAUAUAUAUCAAUAUAUGAAUAAAGAUAAAGGAAAAUGGACACAGAGGUUUAUCAAAAUAAGGGAAAGUAAAUCCUUAUUCUUAUUUCAAGUCAGUUAUUUUUAAAGAUAUUAUUUAGGCUAUGACUAAUAUGUCAAAACUCACCAUGUAGAAAUCAUGUGGGUAUAACUGUACAAUGUUAAAAUUCACUUAUGUUUGUUUAAAAUAACUGUUGAUUAGCCAGAUUUUCUUAUAUUUCAACCUCUUGGUUUGGCAUUAUGUGAGUAGUAUAGUAAUAGAAUAAUAAUAAAGCAAAUAAUUUUUUGUAGCCUGUUA